GUUCUUUUUUAUUUUUAUUUAUAUUAUUCUUACUCUUUUUUUCCUGUCAGUUGUUAUGGUAACGAACAAAUUUCCCACGUGUGGGAUCAAUAAAGUAUUUCUGAUUCUGAUUCUGAUUCUGAAAUGGAAGGAUUACAAAUGUGUAUUUCAAACUGGUUUAUUAUAGUUAUUAAUAUUAAAACAGUGGUUCUUUUAUAUGUGGUGCAUUUAUUAGUCCGUAGAGAAGCUUGUAUUGUUGAAUUCUUAAUCUUUGCCACUGAUGAUUCUAAUAUUCAUUCGGGGGGGGGGGGGGGGGGGGGGGGCACAGAAGUUUGCAAUUAAAGACCCUCUCAGUGGUAUGUUUAUGACACUUUGACAUGCAAACCAUCAGAGAGCAGAACAGACGUUGUGAUAUCCCGAUAUCUCGGAUUAACCAUGAAGUCAUGUCAGCCUCAGUGGCUGCUUGGCCUCUGUUCCAACAACUCAAGAAGUCUUGAGGAAUGUGGGUUAGUACUGCAGUCCGUUACUACCCCCUCUGUCUCUGCCUCAUUCUGUGUCCCCUCCCCUCUCCUCCAAACAGAGGUUUCCCAAACUUUUCUCCUUUUCUCUCCAGUUCAGUAUUCCACACUGGGACGCGCCGUAUCCCGUCUUCUCCACGCGCGGGGCUUCUCGACGCAAAGGCGCACCGACCGCUCUAAGCCUCUGCAGUGGAGUACACACCUGGACCUGGUCUAGAUCUGGUUUAAGUCUGCUCACACUCCGCAACCGCUCAUUGCACAGCAGGUGAGCUGAAGCGGCGGGCGAUUGGGAACGAGGGAUUGUCCAGCAGACCAAUGGGAUCAGGGCAGCGGGUUCAAGUGCUGCUAGGAUGGACGGUGGCAUGUCUGUGGUCGGCUCACUUCGCUGUUGGGGAAACUGGAAAUGGACCUUACCAAGCUAGCCGCUUCACUGGGAGUGUGGAUCAAAAGGAAGUACAGCGGGUUCGGCGCCGUGGCCAGGAGACUCUGAGAGGGUGAGGAUUCUGUGGCAAUUCUUUACAGAUCAACCAACCAGCCUUUCAGUGCCAAAAAUGGGUAGCAAGUAGCCCAGAAUGUCGGUUGGUGAAUCUGAAAUCUGCUUUAUUCACUACAAAAUAAAUACUGAAACCAACGUUUCCUUGAUGCAAUGAUUUGAUCCAUAUUAUUAGUUUAAAUAGUUGUUUUGAAGCAGGGUUGUCAGGCUUCAGGCCUUAUCCUGCUGGUGUGCUGUCGACUAUCUGGGUCAGGUAUGUUUAGCCAAUAAGGAUCUUCAGUGGCUGGUGAGUUGGAAAGCUUAAAGGAUGCUGGCAGAGAAAAUCUUUUCUUUCUUUCUUUCUUUAUCAUUUCUGAAAAAAAAAAAUCAAAGAUGACCCUGCUGACAGGGUAAAAAAUCUUUUGAACCGACACAAUAUUACCAAUAGGAACCUGGAAAAAUAAAACACCUUAAAAUAUAUAUAGCGGCAGUAAAAUGAUAGAAAAAAAUCUUUAAUAACUUAUAUAUAGAAUUGAUUUGCUAUUUUCCAAGCAUUACCUUUAGACAAACAACAAGAAAUCAGAGACAUUUGACAAUAAGCAUUAAGUGUUUAACAAACUGAAAAUACAUUCUAUUAAGGUGCAAAAACCGUCUCGAUGAAGGAGCAGUCAAAACCGUAGAAGCAUUGAACUUAUGUCCAGUAUCUAUUCAAACAGCUGCAAGAAAAUCUGGAGGCCUUGAAACCGAAAGAUGGAACGGUUUAUGUGUGGCUUCAAUGUUUUUCAUCAGGUUUGUAUCUGGUGUUAAAAGUCUAAUGUUUAGUGAAGGGCGAGAUCCCCUUAUUUUAAGUGUAAAUGUGAAAUUUCUACCACCAAAAAGGCUUCUGCUAACCCCCCCCGCCCAUUUCUAAAACAAAAGAUGUUUUCUUGGAGCCAGAUUUCAGUGUUUGCAUCAGUUAUUCCAAUCGGUCUCCCAUCUGUCCCAGCUUAUGGUUCCUCCAGUGCCAAGCCACAGGAAAUGAGGUAUUCGGAUCACCAGAAGGGGGUAUGAAAGGGGGCAUUUGUUUCACUGCUGUAGGUGACAAAGCAGCUGAAAGAGUAGCAGACGGGAAAAAAGUGUGAAAGACAGACAACACAUGGGGAAAAGUGAAAGAUAAACAUCAAAUUGGGAGAGAUUGUAACAAACAGACACUACAUUUAUUUUUUGUGAAUGGGUUUCACAGAUAAAAUCACAACGAGCUUCAAAAUAUAAAACCAAUAGAUCAAAUAGAUUAAACAACAUGUUCAAAUAAAAAUCUGUAAAUAAAAAGAAAUUAUUUAAACAUGAACAACCUACUUAAU
rnacentral:lncRNA from 1 species